ensembl:lncRNA
GGGCUCUGCGCGGUGACGGGACGAGGAACAACCGCCGCUUCGGGCGGACGCGUCGCGGUGCCGCCGGGUGGGAGACGCUGAGCGGACGGACCGCGGGGCGGCGGGCGGAGCGCCGGGAGGGCAGCGAGAAGCGCGACGCGUGCCAACAUGAGCGGGCGGAGCAGAUCGGAGCCGCGAUUGAGGAGCGGCACUCCCCGUAUGGGGCUCCGGCUGAUGACACCGCAGCCCGGCUUUGCCGCAUGUCGCUGCCCCGGUCCGGUUCUCACUGAAGUAACCGCGCUCGGGGUUUGCAUCAUUCCCGGCACGGCGUCGGGCGCGGAUGGCUCCGGUCCAGCGGUGCCGACGCGGAGCUGCGCGGCAGCGAUUCUUGACGUUUGCCCGAGGCAAAGAAAGGAGAACAAGGAUUUCACCCAUGGCCAAGAGAAAGCAUCGGCUCAUCAGCACGAGCGGCGUCAUGUGGGGGCGGGGACGGGCAUGGAGCAGCUUUGUGGGGUGAGCAGCAGCUGCAUGGAGAAGCUGAAGGCACGGGGCUGCCACGCUGUCCCUGAGCAGCCCAGCUCCCAGCAGGAUGGCAAUCCCCACCGCAGGAUCUGAGUUGUGCAGGUGCUCAGUUCUGCUUUAGCGAUGCGUUUUUGGAGCUGCGGGCGCUCCGUGUGCUGCAAUCCCCUCCGCAUGUGAUGCACGGAGGGUCGCGUGGAGCAUCAGAGCUUUUGCAAAGCUGGAUGUUUUCCUCCCAAAGGCGCCAGCGGCGAAGCCGGAAAUUUUACUGCCCGGCAACAGCAAUAAAAUUUGUGCUUUCGGAGCAGC